rnacentral:rRNA from 1 species
UACGGAGGUGGCAAGCGUUGCUCGGAUUCACUGGGUGUAAAGGGCAAGUAGGCGGUUUUGUAAGCCUCGCCUGAAAGGCUCUGGCUCAACCAGAGCAGUGGGCGGGGGACUGCAGAACUUGAGGACAGGAGAGGCGAAUGGAAUUCUCGGUGUAAGAGUGAAAUCUGUAGAGAUCGAGAGGAACACCAGUGGCGAAGGCGAUUCGCUGGCCUGUUUCUGACGCUGAGAGGCGAAAGCUAGGGGAGCAAACAGG